AAUUGUAGGUCACACCCGUUGAC
rnacentral:snRNA from 1 species